GUUAUUACAAACUCCAAACCCAUUGUGAACUUACCUAUUGUUGCCUCGGCAGGUCGCGCUAUACGGUACGGGAAGCUAACAUGCAACUGACGUACCCAGAUAGGGGCUACCCUAGUGAAAUACCUGGAGAGAGGCCAUCCCUGGAGUACUGAAAGUUGUCAGCACCUACCCUAGAGUAGAGCUACCCUGGAGUAGAGCUACCCUGGAGUACGGAAAGCUGCCCUGCACCUACCCUAUAGCACGCAACCAGGCCUGCCGAAGGACCCUUAAACUCUGUUUUAUAAUUGUAUCUCUGAGUAAAUUAUACAAAUAAGUUAAAACUUUCAACAACGGAUCUCUUGGUUCUGGCAUCGAUGAAGAACGCAGCGAAAUGCGAUAAGUAAUGUGAAUUGCAGAAUUCAGUGAAUCAUCGAAUCUUUGAACGCACAUUGCGCCUAAUAGUAUUCUGUUAGGCAUGCCUGUUCGAGCGUCAUUUCAACCCCCAAGCCCUAUUUGCUUGACGUUGGGAGCCUACAGCUGCUGUAACUCCUUAAAUUUAGUGGCGGAGCUGGGUCAUGCUCUGAGCGUAGUAAUUUUAUUCUCGCUUCUGAUGCUGUCCUGUAUCUUGCCGUAAAACCCCUAAAAUUUAUUCUGGUUGACCUCGGAUCAGGUAGGAAUACCCGCUGAACUUAAG
rnacentral:rRNA from 2 species